UCUAGAUUUGAGGUUUUGUUUUGGUUUGACGUUGACCGUCAAAAUUAAUUGUUUUUUCUUAUUAAUUGUAAGUUGUCAAUAUUUUAAAAGUUAGGAGCCAUCAACCCCACAACAAAAUGUGCACGAAUUUCAUCGAAUGUUUACCGUCAAAGUGAUUUAAAAUAAUACUAUGUAAGAAGCCAUACCUGAAGACUGUCAUUUGCAUGGCGUAACCAGUCUGUUUUAUCACAAUGAAGAUGGUAAAAAGCAGCUAUUAGAGUCUCAGAGGGACAUGUACAGAGAACAAGAUACAAAUAAUAGCUUUAUGACAGGAUGUAAAAUGAAUUCUGCAGUCCAUGGUACAUAUCUUAAUCUAACGGUACUAAACCUUCUGUUACAGCGUGGUGCUUCUAAACAUUGGUGUAUUUAUUGAUAUGAAAUGUAAAUGCAAAAUAAUGUCAGUAAUGUAUUGGUUCUAAGUGCUUUUAAAAAGUUUUGAUGUAUUGUUAAUGUUGCAGGAGAUUCAACAAUAUCUCCCAAACGAUCAUCAUUUUAGACCAUCUUUCAGAUCAUUCUCUCUCUUAACUCAAGUACAAUAGUGCCCUUAAGUGACUUUAAAUAGUUUAAUAAAGGUUUAAGUAUUAAGAAGACCUGCAGAUAUAAAUGUUGAUCAAAUACGUACUACCUGCAGUAAAUUUAGCAAGCAAAGUACGUAGCUAAUUCUUGUCAAAUUAACAGGAAAGAUGUAAAAUGGAAUUCUUUCUAAGAUCUGUUGACAAUUUCUGAAAAUAUCCGCUUUUUUCAGAUGCAAUUAUCAACCAGUUUCCUUCAGCUUUAGAGAAAAUAAGUAAAAUGUAAAGCUUUAUGGGAAGCUUUAACAAUUUUUGAAAAUCUCAGUCGUAAACUGUUACUGAAAUAGCUAAAGAAAAGGGCAUUUUUUAAAAUGGAAGUUUUUACCCUAUUCCUUCAAAUUUACACAAAAUAAGUAAAAUGUAAUGCUAUUUUUAUAAACAGAUAAUUAAAUAGACAAAGAAACUUU